rnacentral:lncRNA from 1 species
ACACAAAUCCACCUCCCUACUCACUGUUCAUCUUCGUUUUUCUCCACCCAAAAACUCCAUCUGCCACUGUGAACACACUAAAUUCACCACCUUGCUCUUCCUCUCCGUUUCAUUUCAAUAUUUAAUACACUAAUCCCUCCGCCCACCAUAACUAAAGGCAACCAUCUCCUAACUCCUUAACCGUUAAAAUUGAAUCGCAUAAUCAGACCUACAUGUCACUCAUGAUCAUUCUGUCGUUGAUGCAACACUAAUCACCG